UACCAGCACCCCGAGUGGUCGGGACGAUUAUUGGGCCUAAAGCAUCCGUAGCCGGUCAUGCAAGUCUUCCGUUAAAUCCAGCCGCUCAACGGUUGGGCUGCGGAGGAUACUACGUGGCUAGGAGGCGGGAGAGGCAAGCGGUACUCAGUGGGUAGGGGUAAAAUCCAUUGAUCUAUAGAGGACCACCAAAAAAGGCGAAGGCAGCUAACUAUUCUACUCCUGACAUUGAGGCAUGAAAGCGUGGGGAGCAAAACGG
rnacentral:rRNA from 1 species